GACGAACGCUGGCGGCGUGCUUAACACAUGCAAGUCGAACGAUGAACCAGGGCUUGCCCUGGGGAUUAGUGGCGAACGGGUGAGUAACACGUGGGCAACCUGCCCCAGACACCGGGAUAACCUCUCGAAAGAGUGGCUAAUACCGGAUACGACCACUUUGGGCAUCCAACGGUGGUGGAAAGGAUUCUGGUCUGGGAUGGGCCCGCGGCCUAUCAGCUUGUUGGUGGUGUAAUGGCCUACCAAGGCGACGACGGGUAGCCGGCCUGAGAGGGCGACCGGCCACACUGGGACUGCGACACGGCCCAGACUCCUACGGGAGGCAGCAGUGGGGAAUAUUGCGCAAUGGGCGAAAGCCUGACGCAGCGACGCCGCGUGAGGGACGAAGGUCUUCGGAUUGUAAACCUCUUUCAGCAGGGACGAAGCGAAAGUGACUGUACCUGCAGAAGAAGCACCGGCUAACUACGUGCCAGCCGCCGCCGUAAGAC
rnacentral:rRNA from 1 species